CCUACGGGGGGCAGCAGUGGGGAAUAUUGGACAAUGGGGGGAACCCUGAUCCAGCCAUGCCGCGUGUGUGAAGAAGGCCCUCGGGUUGUAAAGCACUUUCAGUGAGGAAGAACGCCUGGUGGUUAAUACCCAUCAGGAAAGACAUCACUCACAGAAGAAGCACCGGCUAACUCCGUGCCAGCAGCCGCGGUAAUACGGAGGGUGCGAGCGUUAAUCGGAAUUACUGGGCGUAAAGCGCGCGUAGGUGGCUUGAUAAGCCGGUUGUGAAAGCCCCGGGCUCAACCUGGGAACGGCAUCCGGAACUGUCAAGCUUGAGGGCAAGGGAGGAAGGUAAAAUUCCCGGGGGAGGGGGGAAAAGCGGAGAGGUCGGGAGGGAUACCAGUGGCGAAGGGCGGCUUUCGGAACGGACAUGGCCCCGGGGUGCGAAAACGUGGGGAACCAAACGGAUUAGAUACCCGUGUAGUC
rnacentral:rRNA from 1 species